UACGUAGGCAGCAAGCGUUGUUCGGAGUUACUGGGCGUAAAGGGUGCGUAGGCGGGUCUUUUAAGUCAGGGGUGAAAUCCUGGAGCUCAACUCCAGAACUGCCUUUGAUACUGAGGAUCUUGAGUUCGGGAGAGGUGAGUGGAACUGCGAGUGUAGAGGUGAAAUUCGUAGAUAUUCGCAAGAACACCAGUGGCGAAGGCGGCUCACUGGCCCGAUACUGACGCUGAGGCACGAAAGCGUGGGGAGCAAACAGGG
rnacentral:rRNA from 1 species